rnacentral:rRNA from 1 species
CCCAAUUGAUUGAUGGUGCUUGCACCUGAUUGAUUUUGGUCGCCAACGAGUGGCGGACGGGUGAGUAACACGUAGGUAACCUGCCCAGAAGCGGGGGACAACAUUUGGAAACAGAUGCUAAUACCGCAUAGCAGCGUUGUUCGCAUGAACAACGCUUAAAAGAUGGCUUCUUGCUAUCACUUCUGGAUGGACCUGCGGUGCAUUAGCUUGUUGGUGGGGUAACGGCCUACCAAGGCGAUGAUGCAUAGCCGAGUUGAGAGACUGAUCGGCCACAAUGGGACUGAGACACGGCCCAUACUCCUACGGGAGGCAGCAGUAGGGAAUCUUCCACAAUGGGCGCAAGCCUGAUGGAGCAACACCGCGUGAGUGAAGAAGGGUUUCGGCUCGUAAAGCUCUGUUGUUAAAGAAGAACACGUAUGAGAGUAACUGUUCAUACGUUGACGGUAUUUAACCAGAAAGUCACGGCUAACUACGUGCCAGCAGCCGCGGUAAUACGUAGGUGGCAAGCGUUAUCCGGAUUUAUUGGGCGUAAAGAGAGUGCAGGCGGUUUUCUAAGUCUGAUGUGAAAGCCUUCGGCUUAACCGGAGAAGUGCAUCGGAAACUGGAUAACUUGAGUGCAGAAGAGGGUAGUGGAACUCCAUGUGUAGCGGUGGAAUGCGUAGAUAUACGGAAGAACACCAGUGGCGAAGGCGGCUACCUGGUCUGCGACUGACGCUGAGACUCGAAAGCAUGGGUAGCGAACAGGAUUAGA